rnacentral:rRNA from 1 species
GACGAACGCUGGCGGCGUGCUUAACACAUGCAAGUCGAACGGAAAGGCCUGUCUGUUGUGGGGUGCUCGAGUGGCGAUCGUGUGAGUAACACGUGUGUAACCUGCCCUGUACGUGGGGAUAUCUGUAGGAAACUGGGGCUAAUACCGGAUAGGAGCUGUGGUGGCAUGGUGGGGGUUGGAAAGUUUCGGCGGUUGGUGAUGGACUCGCGGCUUAUCAGCUUGUUGGUGGGGUAGUGGCUUACCAAGGCUUUGACGGGUAGCCGGCCUGAGAGGGUGACCGGCCACAUUGGGACUGAGAUACGACCCAGACUCCACAGGGAGGCAGCAGUGGGGAAUAUUGCACAAUGGGCGGAAGCCUGAUGCAGCACAGCCGCGUGCGGGAUGACGGCCUUCGGGUUGUAACAAAAAAUCGCCUGUGACGAAGCGUGAGUGACGGUAAUGGGUAAAGAAGCACCGGCUAACUACGUG